GUCUCAGAAGCAUAGUGGUUAAUGCACAGCCCCGUUUAGACGCGGGUUCGAAUCCCGCCUGAGAUG
rnacentral:tRNA from 1 species